GGCCUAACACAUGCAAGUCGAACGGUAACAGCGGAGCGUUNCUCCGGCUGACGAGUGGCGCACGGGUGAGUAACGCGUGGGAACCUGCCCUGGAGUGGGGAACAACCGCUGGAAACGGCGGCUAAUACCGCAUACGCCCCUUCGGGGGAAAGCUUUAUGCGCUCUGGGAUGGGCCCGCGUCGGAUUAGCUUGUUGGUGAGGUAACGGCUCACCAAGGCUACGAUCCGUAGCUGGUCUGAGAGGAUGAUCAGCCACACUGGGACUGAGACACGGCCCAGACUCCUACGGGAGGCAGCAGUGGGGAAUAUUGGACAAUGGGCGCAAGCCUGAUCCAGCAAUGCCGCGUGUGUGAAGAAGGCCUGCGGGUUGUAAAGCACUUUCAGUAGAGAAGAAAAGCCUCGGGUUAAUACCCCGGAGUCUUGACGUAACCUACAGAAGAAGCACCGGCUAACUCCGUG
rnacentral:rRNA from 1 species